rnacentral:lncRNA from 1 species
AGAGGGGGAGCUGCUCGUUCGAACCAGCCAGCCGACCGGACGCCGCCUCCUUCGCCGCUCGUCGUUCGCAAUUCGUCGCCGUCGCGGUGGCCGUUCGUCCGCACGCCCGCGCACCGCGCCGACUCGUCGUCACACCGCCUCCGCCAUCUCCAGCUUGUGCUCGACGCCCUCGCAGAUCUGGGGUGGACGCCGGAGCAGCCAGCGCCGCACGCCGUCCUCACCUCGCGUCGCCUCGCCGCCGUGCCGCUGUCCUCGUGCGCCGCUGCUGGCCGCGCUCCUUGGCCGCCCUCUCGCCCAGCUCACUGUUUCAGCAAGCGGUCCAGCUCGUGCAGGAGCUGCCGAAGUCGUUUUCGCUACCGUGAGCCACCGUGCGCCCACGCCUUAGCUCGCCGGAGCUGCCGCCU